rnacentral:lncRNA from 1 species
AGGGCUUCUAGAGAAAAAUAAUGAGGGGUGUCACGGGGUAUGACUAUAUAGGUCUUGUAGAGGAGAAACAGGCGCUUCUUUUGCGCAAGGUAUCGAAAGGCGCUAUGUUCAAAAAUCUGAAACUAGAGCCCAAAAUUUGAAAAAAAAUUGUAAAAAAAAUAGGGGGGUCGGCCUAUUCCAGGGCUUCUAGAGAAAAAUAAUGAGGGGUGUCACGGGGUAUGACUAUAUAGGUCUUGUAGAAGAGAAACAGGCGCUUCUUUUGCGCAAGGUAUCGAAAGG